GAUGAACGCUGGCGGCGUGCCUAAUACAUGCAAGUCGAGCGAACGGACGAGAAGCUUGCUUCUCUGAUGUUAGCGGCGGACGGGUGAGUAACACGUGGAUAACCUACCUAUAAGACUGGGAUAACUUCGGGAAACCGGAGCUAAUACCGGAUAAUAUUUUGAACCGCAUGAUUCAAAAGUGAAAGACGGUCUUGCUGUCACUUAUAGAUGGAUCCGCGCUGCAUUAGCUAGUUGGUAAGGUAACGGCUUACCAAGGCAACGAUGCAUAGCCGACCUGAGAGGGUGAUCGGCCACACUGGAACUGAGACACGGUCCAGACUCCUACGGGAGGCAGCAGUAGGGAAUAUUGCGCAAUGGGCGAAAGCCUGACGGAGCAACGCCGCGUGAGUGAUGAAGGUCUUCGGAUCGUAAAACUCUGUUAGUAGGGAAGAACAUAUGUGUAAGUAACUGUGCACAUCUUGACGGUACCUAAUCAGAAAGCCACGGCUAACUACGUG
rnacentral:rRNA from 1 species